AAGGGCCAAUGAUGAUGCAAAUUGCAAAAUAUGCCUACAUCGUUUGAUAAUGCAAUGAUAAUAAAAUGUAUUCUGAGGCCUUU